rnacentral:rRNA from 1 species
GGCGGAACACGAGGAAUUCCGUCGGAAUCCGGGAGGACCAUCUCCCAAGGCUAAAUACUCCCUAGUGACCGAUAGUGAACCAGUACCGUGAGGGAAAGGUGAAAAGCACCCCGGAAGGGGAGUGAAAUAGAACCUGAAACCGUGUGCCUACAACAAGUCAAAGCCCGUUAAUGGGUGAUGGCGUGCCUUUUGUAGAAUGAACCGGCGAGUUACGAUUGCAUGCGAGGUUAAGUUGAAGAGACGGAGCCGCAGCGAAAGCGAGUCUGAAUAGGGCGUUUGAGUAUGUAGUCGUAGACCCGAAACCAUGUGAUCUACCCAUGUCCAGGUUGAAGGUGCGGUAAAACGCACUGGAGGACCGAACCCACGUACGUUGAAAAGUGCGGGGAUGAGGUGUGGGUAGCGGAGAAAUUCCAAACGAACUUGGAGAUAGCUGGUUCUCUCCGAAAUAGCUUUAGGGCUAGCCUCGGAAUUGAGAAUGAUGGAGGUAGAGCACUGUUUGGACUAGGGGCCCAUCUCGGGUUACCGAAUUCAGAUAAACUCCGAAUGCCAUUCAUUCAUAUCCGGGAGUCAGACUGUGAGUGAUAAGAUCCAUAGUCGAAAGGGAAACAGCCCAGACCACCAGCUAAGGUCCCAAAAUAUAUGUUAAGUGGAAAAGGAUGUGGGGUUGCACAGACAACUAGGAUGUUGGCUUAGAAGCAGCCACCAUUUAAAGAGUGCGUAAUAGCUCACUAGUCGAGUGACCCUGCGCCGAAAAUGUACCGGGGCUAAACAUAUUACCGAAGCUGUGGAGUACACCUUUAGGUGUAUUGGUAGGAGA